UACCAGCACCCCGAGUGGUCGGGACGAUUAUUGGGCCUAAAGCAUCCGUAGCCGGUCCUACAAGUCUUCCGUUAAAUCCACCUGCUUAACAGAUGGGCUGCGGAAGAUACUAUAGGGCUAGGAGGCGGGAGAGGCAAGCGGUACUCGAUGGGUAGGGGUAAAAUCCGUUGAUCCAUUGAAGACCACCAGUGGCGAAGGCGGCUUGCCAGAACGCGCUCGACGGUGAGGGAUGAAAGCUGGGGGAGCAAACCGG
rnacentral:rRNA from 1 species